rnacentral:lncRNA from 1 species
CUGGGACCUCUUAAGUGCUCUUAACCACUGAGCUAUCUCUCCAUCCUGUAGGCAAGCACUUUACCAACAGUAACAUUCCUAGUCCCCACACAGACGCUGCCCUUUGUGUGUCUUUAUGAGACAUAGCAAGUUUUAGGAGGCCAAGGCUAUAAAGCAUGACUGUUUCAGAAAUAAGUGAAAGAGACUCACUUAAGGCCUAGGUGGUGGUGGUGGCGGCGGCACACACCUUCAUUCCCAAUGCUUGGAUGUUUGAUUCCAAGUUUGGAAAUACACAAGAAAAAUUAUCAGUAGACAAUCUAAACUUGGUAUUUUGGCCUGACAAAGCGAACAAGGGUCUUGGGGUUGCUUUGGUUAUCGCUGUGGGGAGAGAGCAGUUGGGCUUUUCAUCUCUGCAGGAUGGUUUUAUUUCUUUUGCUUCUAUCAUUUAGCAGGAAAUUUAUGGGACUGUGACUGAGUAAGGGAGAUGGAGAACUUUAAAGCAACUGGAUAAAGAGGCAGUGCCUUGCAGAGCAUUCCAGUGGUGUAGAUGUGACUAGUUACGUCAUGGCACCUUAAGCGCCUGUCAGACUUACUGUCUACAAUACCAACCAGAUAGUGGUGCUGAGUGCUAGCCUGAGUAGUUAGUUGUUUGUAGCCAUAUCCUAUGUAUUUGUCAGUGAUGAAAUGUAUAGCCUAGCCUAGCCAGGCCAUACCAUCCACCGACUGGUGUAAGUCAGUUGUUUCUGACUUGUGGGUCAUAACCUCUCUGGUCGGGGGAGGGUGGGGUGACCCUUUCACAUGGUUGCCCAAGGCCAUUGGGGAUCAUUUUACAUUACUAAGCACAGAUUCCUAACAGUA